ACCCCAACACACACACACACACACACACACACACACACACACACACACACACGCUUUUUCUUUUCCCCAAGGGAAUUGUUUGCGAUUGAACAAGUGGAAGCAUAAAUAGCUUUGCGGAACUAUUUAGCAAAGUCAAUAUGCAAUUAUGCAAAAGUCUAUGAUAAGGCUCCCUCGGAAGCAGAAAGCAGCACGGGGAAUAAAGACAGCGUUUCAGCUUCCCUGGAGAGGCUGGUUUUCACAAAAUGUGCCCCUUUAUACAGCCCAUCAUGGAUGCUAUUCGUGGCCAGUCUUGCUCAUCCUGUUGCUUCACAGUUCAUUUUAGGAUCAUAAAUGUAGCUGCGCCCCUGUCGAUGCUUGGCUUGACGGCGCCCCCGCCCCCACUACCUCCAGCCGCGCCGAUGCCUGGUGGCCCUGCUGGAGAGAUGGAGCUCAAACCCCAGAAAGCAGCCGUCGGAAGGCACUCAGGUGUUGGCCGCAGCUGGCUGUAGUUCCGGGAAGAGCUUGCAGGCGGUCGGCCCAGUUUGAUCCUUUCUGUAAUCGGAAAAGGAUUGCGUUGCCUGGCCCAGUCAGCUCAGUUUCCCGAGAAUUAAACAGAGAAAUCGCUUUUCUGAGACAAGGAGGUUCCAUCUUGGCCUGAGUUGUUUCCAAGUUCAUGUUGGGGAAGGAAGGGGCGGCGGGGGGAGGGGGAGGUCAGGCAUAAAGUUGGUAAUUCACCUGGAUCUCCUCGGCUUUAACACGCGGGCCUGCCUUAACCUCCCGAGUGAUGUAUCCGGGCGUUUGUCCCCGAAAACAACACUUGGAUGCGAUGGAGAAAAGGAAGAGAUCUGAAAACUUGGGGAGUGGGGGAGAAAGGAAGAGAGAAGACAUGCAAAUGAUGAGGGAUUCUAGGAUGAGUUUUUUAAACAGUCGGAGCUCUUUUAAGGCAAAAAGCAUCUGAAGGUUUGGGGUGUACGUGUGCCUUUGGGCACACAUGAGACGAGUACAGUGUCGGGGCUGAAGGCUGGCAAGGCUCAGAUACUGGGCUUUUUGAAAACCCCACUAUUAGGGGGAGGUGGGCGUUGACUCCCGCGAAGUAUUAAAAGAAGCAAUACUUGUCACUUAAGGAAGUACGUGCGCUUGGUGGAACCUGAUUCCAGAUCUAAGUUCUGAUGCUCGCUCUGUGUCCCCAGUUUCUCAAAAGCUCACUUAACAGAACCUUAAGCCCUAUUUGUCGGACCGAUGCAAAUUAUCUUUUGGUUUGCGCAUUAAGAGUUGACUUCAGUACAUUUUAGGGCUCCUAUUCUUUUCUAAACAACCUUCGCGGAUAGGAGCACCCAAUCUUUCUCAAAACUCUUCCCCUUACCUAACCCCCCUCCCUACCCCCCACCUUUGGGGUGAAGGUGGGUCGGCAACUGGUGGAGUGUAA
rnacentral:lncRNA from 9 species